GUAAUUUUGUGUAUCCACUCAAAUCUAUUAAAAGGAAAUUGUCCUUGAAUAUUUGAAUAUUUAUAAAUCUGUUUCUUGGAAAUUAUUAACGUGAACACAUCUUUCUGUAAUUCUGUAUUAAUCCAAAAGAGCUUUUCAAACGCAGUGCAUUCAGAAACUCAAUCCAACACGUUCAAAAUGAACUUUGAUUGGAAUAAGGAGCCAUGAGUUAAAACACGUCCACGGCCAAAAAAGAAACACAGAAGAUACUUAAUGGGGAUCACACUCAAUUCCAACAUAUCUCUGUAAAAUCUCCAUUCAUGCCAAUCCUAUUGACAUUAAGGCAAUUUAUUACGAAAAACCAUUUCAAUUAGGAAAGUAAGAAAUAUUAUAAAAUUGCAAAACCCCUCAUUUAUUCUGUUUACACCCUUCCUCAGUGUAAUGUAUUCAUAUCUUUAAAAGGCAUGCAAAGAUCAGAAAGUAUUAGAGCUAUACAUCUUAUCACAUUACAGUGUUUUCUUGUGUAAUCUAAUGUCACUCAGUAUAUAUGAAUUGUAAUGCUCUAAAAACAAAGGUAUAUGAGCGACUUUUAUCACGAAUAAGAAAUUUGUUUGCUUCUUGAACAUUGUGUAUUCUAGAGUAAAAACAGUAGUCCGUGAAUUUUGAGUGACAUUUUUUUUUUUCAUUGUACGUAUAUCAAUAUGUUAAUGAAUGCAAGCGCACGUGAAUUAAAUGAAGAAAGAAGUACUGAAAAUGAUGUCAUUUGUUUUUAAUUGGGUGUGCCAGGUAAGAAUGAGAAAGAAAAUCUAAAAAGGAAAUCCCGAAAAUUAUGUCAAUGCUGGACAGAGAGAAAAACAUAAAGAGAGAGAGAGAGAGAGAGAGAGAGAGAGAGAGAGAGAGAGAGAGAGAGAGAUGACCAACUAUGUCGAUUACUGUAUAUAAAAGGAAUCCGCAUCUUUAUAUUAUUUGCUUCGUCGCGACUUUUUUUCCAAAGUAGUUAUAAAAGAAAAGCCUGAAUCACAUAAACGAGUUUUUUUUUUCACAAAGGUAAGAUGUUUACCUAUGUGUUAUUAAAAAUAAUGUAUAAUUUCGUUCUGUCAAAAAUAUAUUAAAUAAACGGAAGCAUUUAGAGAUGCAUUUAAAUAAUAAUUAAAUAACAUCCCUAACAUUUUUUUUAGCAUUCAGCAUACUACCUUUACUAUAUUGUUGCUAACAACAUUUGUGGCAUUUAAAAAGGACUGAUGCAGGUAAGAAUUUGAUAUAUUUCAUUAUAUUUGAUUUUAUUCAUGCAUAUUUUAAGGUCUUGCUUGCUAUAUGAGGUUUUUGUUAAAGAUAUGGAGAUAACGAACAGUAUUCAAUAUCAAAGUUCAUAAAACGAUACAAAAUAGGAGCAGCGCAAUCAUCAACAUCAAACAUCAGAGGUGGGAUCAAGUGCCAUUUACUCUAAUCUAAGUCUAUUUGGUAAAAAAUGUAAAGCAAAGAUUUAUUAAAUUGAAAGAAUGAAUUUUCCUCCUACAUCUUAAGUUCAUCCAAUAGUGAAUGCUUUAGACCAGAUCUCAGUUCUCUUUUAUCAGUUUUUGUGUUUGUUUCAUAGAUAUGUAUCUUGUAUCUCAGAGACUGUGAAAAUGACCAGAGAUAAUUUUUUUUUUUUUUUUUUCAUCAACCAUUCUCUUCCUCGUGUUUUGUUAAGUAGAAGCCGGGUAAGUCAAUUAAAAUUCAUAUUUGAAUGGUUCUGGUUUAGCUUUGCCGUAUGAUACCUUUAAUCUAACCUGUUAUCUAUUUGCCUGUCUGAAUUCUUUUAAAUAUAUCUCUAUUUAAAGUUAUGUUAUCGUUCUUUGUCAAUACCAAAUUGAUUGACAUUUGCUUCCUUGGACUUACAAUGUUUAGAAGAACACUGUUAUGGUCAUCCUUGCCGUGCCACUUUCGCAUAGAAAUACCAAGAGAGAGGAUAGACCUGAUAAAUGUUUGUAAAAUUUAUUCAUGUUUGAAUAUCCCUUUAUAGGUCUUUAACAAGGAAAUAUUUAAUCAAAAUGGACUUAAAUAGAGAGAGACAAUUUCUUUUUUCUUUUUCAUUUUUGGCCAUUUCUUUUAGGCCUACAGUAUUUAUUUUGGACUAAUGUACUACAAAUGUCAUGUAUCUUGAGCGAAAAUGGACCAGUGAAUUGAAGGGGACUAUUCUAGAUGUGCGUGGUGAAACUUCCUUGAUGGCGUAUAGGCUGAUUGUCAAGGCCGCAUAAGGCGCAUUUUUUCUGAUGUCAAAUUUUGUCCCAGCAUUAAUCAUUAUUUUCUUUUACAUGAAUUAUUUGCUGAGAGUUUUGUAGAUUUAAUUAAAGCUAUAUAGUAACAUAUAGUAAAAUUAAUAGUAAAAUUAUUUCCUUGUGUGAGACCAAAUAAAGUAUGGUAACUGUCAUUUUGAUUACAAUAUCUUUGAUUUCAGGAGUAUUCUUCCCUUUAAAAUUUCAAUAAUGGCGGAUAUACAACACAGCAUGGAAUCUGGUCAUCAACGAAGAUUUUCGACACCCGUAUACCCGUAUUGCUAUCACUCACCUCUGUAACCUUUGUUGUUUUCAACAGUCAGGAAAGGAAAACUAAAUAAUUAAUUAAAAAAAAUUGAAUGAGGCAAAUGAUAAAAAAUAAAACAUAUUUACAUGCACAGUCUCUCUCGUAUAAGAAAAUUUCACAUUUUACAUAUAGAAUUUUAAUCCAUUUACAUCUCCAAAUUAGAAUAAGUGCAUGAUAAAAUAAAGCAACACUUAUUAUUUGUAAUAUAGUUCACAAAUUAUGUAUUAACAUGUAUCUUAAUUAAGUUCACAGCCUACCCCCCCCCCCCAACACACACACACUUCGUAACAAUCUCACAACAUCAUUUUUUAAUUUGGUUAUUUACAGUAAGUGUCUUUAGAUUUUUUAUUUAAAAACUUACGACAAAUCUUUUAGAUUUGUAGUAUUUGCUAUGAAAUUUACAUUUUAACAGGUUUUGUUUUAUUUUAAGUAAUUUUGUCGAUGCUGUUGCUGAUUUGGAUGAUGGACCAUUCCAUUUCUUUAUACAACCGGAGUACCCACAAAAUCAUAAAGUUCGAAUAUUGAGCGUCCAUAACCCCUAUUUAACUGUAGAUUUCCACUUAUUGCUUAUCGAAGAUAGGAAAUAGUUGACAGGGUUUUCUGCAAUGUCCUUGGUAGCACUUUUUGAAAGAACCAACAGCAAUGGAAAAAGCCCACAUAAAUGCGCCAGACGCAGUGGCACUAUCUUAAUUACUGGUAAAUGUAAAAUGACGGGUGCAAGGCCAUCAAUUUGUAUCACCCACAGAGAGUUUGCAGCCCAUCUCUACUCAUCUCCAAUGGUGGGCUCUGGAGGAACGGUUGCAGUGCAGUCUUUGUGUGCUGGGCAAGUAACGUUUUUUUCCUUUGCUUCGUAGGUGUGUGCCUUUCAUGCAUAGUUUAUUCUAACAGAACACUUCUAGAACAUUGUUCCUCGAGUUACAUUUUCACAUACUGUAUAAGUAACCGUGGUGGCAGCUUGGAAUGGGCGUUUUCAAAGGCAGUGAAGGUGGCAUUGUUAUACCAAAUAUCUCCCUCUGUUCUCAUUGCGGUAUCAGAAGGUUCACAUUUUUAUUAAGUUUUCGAAUAUUCUGCCUUCUUCACACUGUUGUCAUUUACUUCAUUGUUGCUGUAGGUUUGUUGCAUGUUGGCGAAUGAUGCUGGUUCAAAAUUUGGACGAAGAAGCGUACCAUACAUACCCUCUUUAGUGACUGGUAACCAGGUGAUCGACAAUUUGUCUAUGCCAUUCCAGAUAUUCCUCUUCGUUAAGCAUUUCAUCUCUAGUAAGACUGGUAACGAGGUGAUCGACAACCAUGGCCACAUUUGGCUGUGUCAUUCCAAAUCUUCCUCUUUGUAAAGCAUUUGUUGGUGAUUGCUAUAGCGGCACUUCUUACAGCAGACAGAAAUGAUCCAUGCCAAGUCUCGUUUAUCUUCCUAUGCCGAUUCAAGUCAAGUGCACUGUCACACUCUGGAAACUUAUGUGAGUUCUCUUUAAAUACCAGUUCGAUAAUCUAUCUGUCAUUUCUUGGUGAAGUACUUUAUAUUAUUUUGAAUUCGGGUUGUUUAACACAGCUGCCAUGUAGGUGUCUACUGACUCGACUUCAUUUGGCCCGGGUCGAAAAAUCCUCAUCUCACAACUGUUGUUGUCUGUGGUCAUACAAUGUCCGGAAAUCUUCUUUAUAAGGAUUUCAAGUUGGACUGGGCUAAUGGUAUAUUUUUCUGACCCUUUUAGUUAGGAAUACUCCCGAACGUCCGAAAAUCGUCUUUAUGGGGAUUAGAAUUGGACUGGGGUAAUGAUCCCUAUAUUCUUCUGACCUUCUUUGCGAUGAAUACUACCUUUUUUGUAUAGAUGUUGAUGCAACCAUUCUGGUCCUUUUGAUGGUAUAAUUAUCAUUUAAGUAUAAAUACAAUGUAACACAAACUUUAUUUUUAGGAAAUCAGCUAUAUUUCUCAUAGAUUUACAUUUUAAUUGGUAACCUGAAUAAUGUUUAUCAUCUAUAUUUGGGGAAUUUUGUGAGAUUUUGUCACGAGGGUUCAAAAAAUGUGCAAAGUUUUGCAUAUAAUUAUAAAGAAAGCAAAAUAAAGUCUCAUAUGUAAGCAUCAAGGUAAACCUACGAUUUCUGUAUAUUUCAGGGAUUUAUUAUCUGUGUCAUUUCAAAUCAAAAUCCGUCAAAAAAUAUAUAUUAAUCCGUGCAUCAAAUUUUUGUUUGAGUUAUGUACCCAAUACUGUACACUUGUAGACUUUUAUCUAAGAAUAUGCUUCUGUUUAUGGUGCACAUUUUUAAAUAUUGUAAACCUUGGUUCCUUUAUUUUUCUAAAAGAAACUCAAUUCUUUGAUGGCUGAAUGAAAAGCGUUAUCACCCCCACUGUUGAAGAACUCCUUAAUCUCCAACCAUUAAUCAGUGAUAAGUGUUAUAAGGCUACAAUGUCAUAAUUAAAGUUUUUAACACCAUUUUAUUCGAAUUUUUUCAUUUGUUUUAGAAUUUUUAAUUUUUUUUGUUUUGCUAAUCAAUAGUCAGUAAAUUUCAUGUUUCUUAGCUAAUUAGUGCUCGAGCUAACUAUUUUAAGUUGAAAAAAAAAAAUUAGCAGACACGAAACAGAUCGAACAUUUUAUAUUGCGUUUCAUUCAAAUUUUUCUUCUCAACAAUUCGCUCAUAAGAUUAUUUUGAAAUUAAUAUACUGUAUAUUAAUUUGUUAUGAAAUUUAUCCUUAAAUUCAAUGAUCUGUUAUGAGGAGUUACAUUUAUCUCCUAUUUUUCAUCUUUUAAGGAAUAAGAUAGCACUAGUUUGUGAUCGAUAAAUAACUAAAAGACAUUUUCGUCAAAUUUUAUUUAACUUCGUAAUUGGUAAUUGUCUUUAAGACUUUUUGCUAUCAGUUGACACCAAAAAAUGAAAAGACUUCAAAUUUAUUUGUCAUUAAUGUUCAGUCUUCACUACAUAUACGUAUACAGAUCAUCAGGAAGAAAAAAAAGCAUUAUGGUUAUUCAACUAUAUUUAUACAAAAGUAACGAACCGCUCACUGGUAAGCGAACAGUCUAUUGAAUUUAUUUUUUUUUUUAUUACAAAUGCUCUGACUUAAUUCCAGGAUCAAAAGUAAAUUAGUUCACUUUAUAAAAUGUAUUUCAAAUUAUUUUAAUUUUGAUCAUACAGUUAUUGAUUACAAUUUUUUCUUACUAUAUAAGUAUUUUUUUUAAAUGUCAUUUUGACAGAACAAAGCAUCUUAGCCUAAUUUAAAAUAUUGAUCUUAAUUUUGUAAAGUAUUUCCAUUGAAGCUGUUAACCUCAUUUUUUCAAGGAUCACGCAGAAUGUACAUGAGAUAUGUAUAUAAAAAGAAUUGGGGUAUAUCAGGGUAACACUCUUCUUCUGAUCAUGAAAUAAAUGAAUUUUCAAUGAUUUUUUUCCCGAAUAUAAUGUUCUAAGUUUGUCACAUUUCAUUAAUCUGAUAAAUCUAUAGUAUUAAAUGACUUAUUGAGUAAUAUAUGUUUAUAGCUGACAGUUUAAUAAUUUUUAUUUGCGGUACAUUUGUCGAUUAGGGCCUUUCAAAGAUUGGGUAGCUUUGUUAUUAUGCCAUGUAAUAUACUUAAUCGCGAGCCCUUGGUAAGUUCAUAUUAUAUGUGAAGAUAAUAGUAAUUUAGAAAAUUUGCAAACCAUGAUAUUUACAACAAAAUUUUACUUUAUAAAUAUAAACUUUUGAAUUUAAGAAACAUCCUGUCUCAGAGCAGCGGAUCUUUGCCUCUCUUCGCCGCUGAAUUUUCAUCUUGUAUAGAAUCCUGAAUGUCAUCAUUUAGAAAUUCAUGUACAGAUAUCAGGGUUACCGUUUGAGCUCUACUGGAUCGGUGAUUAGAUACAGAGUUUUAUACUAGACCGGGCGUGAAAAAAAUGUGAAUUAGCACAACUGGACCAGUAAUUUGAUACAAAGUUUUAUACUAGACCAGGCGUAAAAACAUAUGAAUUAACACUACUGGAUCAUUAAUUAGAUAAAGAGACUUAUUCUAGAUUAGGUAUUAAAAGUUUGGAUGCUUUAUAUAUCAAUGCGUACUACGUCUUCUAUCACCUGACACCUGAUCCCACCUCUAAUGUUUUGGAGUUCCGUGUUUGCUUUGCUACUAUUUGGUAUUGUUUUAUGGCCUUUGAGAUUGAAUAUUGUUCGUUAUCUCCAUACCCUUUAUCAACAUAUCACGAGAUUUUCCAGUGUUAACACUGUAUUUUUUCAGUUUUUGUAACAUGUGUAAAUAGUAAUUUGAAUAUUUUGUUUAUUUAUUUUUGUAUUUAUUUAGGCUUUAUUUUCAUUCUUCAUUUUGAGCA